rnacentral:misc_RNA from 1 species
UUCUGAAGAGAUGAUAUUGGUUCAUUGAAGUAAACAGGAAGACAAACUCGUGUGAGAUCCUUCCCUACGUUGUCUUUGAUCAUAGACCAAAGACUGACCCCUUUCUCCUUCUCAAUGGGGUCAGGAAGCUUCUUUCGCCUUUCAAUAUGUGGAUAGCCAGAAUGACAUAGCUGCUUCUUGGCAAGCAUUUUCUCCUCAUUAUCAAUUUGAUUGUGUUCCCUGUGUUUCUCACAUUGACUGGCAGCUUCUUUUAUCAAAG